rnacentral:rRNA from 1 species
ACUUGUUCUUUAAAUGCGGACUAGUAUGAAUGGCACUACAAGGGUUAUACUGUCUCCUUUUUCUAAUCAGUGAAACUAAUUUUCCCGUGAAGAAGCGGGGAUAUAACUAUAAGACGAGAAGACCCUAUGGAGCUUUAAACAACCCAGCAAUUACUUCUAAAAUUGUAAAUUUCAGAAUAUUCAUUUCUUAAGUAAUAUGUCUGCAAGUUUUUGGUUGGGGUGACCAUGGAGAAUAACAUAACCUCCAUAUUGAAUGAAUUCCCUUCUAAGCCGAAAAUUACCAAUUGAAGCAUCAACAUACUGACAUCUAUUGACCCAAUAUAUUUGAUCAACGAACCAAGUUACCCUAGGGAUAACAGCGCAAUCCACUUCAAGAGCCCCUAUCGACAAGUGG